rnacentral:rRNA from 1 species
AAUGGAGAGUUUGAUCCUGGCUCAGGAUGAACGCUGGCGGCGUGCCUAAUACAUGCAAGUCGAACGCACUGAUUUUAUCAGUGAGUGGCGAACGGGUGAGUAAUACAUAAGUAACCUGCCCUCAUGAGGGGGAUAACUAUUAGAAAUGAUAGCUAAGACCGCAUAGGUGAAGGGGUCGCAUGACCGCUUCAUUAAAUAUCCGUAUGGAUAGCAGGAGGAUGGACUUAUGGCGCAUUAGCUGGUUGGUGAGGUAACGGCUCACCAAGGCGACGAUGCGUAGCCGACCUGAGAGGGUGGACGGCCACACUGGGACUGAGACACGGCCCAGACUCCUACGGGAGGCAGCAGUAGGGAAUUUUCGGCAAUGGG